ACGAACGCUGGCGGCGUGCCUCAUACAUGCAAGUAGGACGCACAGUCUAUACCGUAGCUUGCUACACCAUAGGCUGUGAGUUGCGAACGGGUGAGUAACGCGUAGGUAACCUGCCUAUUAGAGGGGGAUAACUAUUGGAAACGAUAGCUAAUACCGCAUAACAGUAUGUAACACAUGUUAGAUGCUUGAAAGAUGCAAUUGCAUCGCUAGUAGAUGGACCUGCGUUGUAUUAGCUAGUAGGUAGGGUAAUGGCCUACCUAGGCGACGAUACAUAGCCGACCUGAGAGGGUGAUCGGCCACACUGGGACUGAGACACGGCCCAGACUCCUACGGGAGGCAGCAGUAGGGAAUCUUCGGCAAUGGGGGGAACCCUGACCGAGCAACGCCGCGUGAGUGAAGAAGGUUUUCGGAUCGUAAAGCUCUGUUGUUAAGGAAGAACGAGUGUGAGAAUGGAAAGUUCAUACUGUGACGGUACUUAACCAGAAAGGGACGGCUAACUACGUG
rnacentral:rRNA from 1 species